CACAAACAGCGAGAUCACAACCUGAGCCAAGAUCAAGAGUCGGAUGCUUAACCUACGGAGCCAGCCAGGAGCCCCGGCACCCAUCCCAUUUAUUCACGUGCCAUUGGCUUCAGCUCAGUCAGGGUGACAUCCCAGCCGUGGUCGAGACAGAGGAGUGUUAGACGAGCUGUGUACUGAGGAAGAAGAGAAACCACUGUCUUUGCCACAAAACCAAAAGCACCCCGCUUUCUGUGACUUGUCGUGCAGCAGAGAUCCUGGAGUGAAGCCGACGGAUGAAAACAGGAUUGAGGAACCACAGCCACGUGUUUCUCAUUCAUCGAGUAUUGGAAGUGAGACGGUUUAAACGGAAGCAUCUUACAGCCAUCGACUGCCAACAUUUGGCUCGGAGUCACUUGGCUGUGACCCAGCCCUUCGGUCAAAGAUGGACCAACAGAGACCCGAACCACGGUCUCUAUCCUAGACCCAGAACAAAAAGAGGGACUAGGGGUCAAGGAUGUCAAAGGUACGGCACUGAAUUCCUCCUAGCUGGCCAGCAGCGGCGCACCAAUGACAUGGCCAAAAGCAAUUCUGUGGGCCAGGACACCUCUAAGGACUCGGAGGGGGAAAUGAUCUUUGCCGCGGAGAGCAACUGUGCCCUGCCUCGAGAAGGUGAUGGAGAAGCCAGACUGGGCUCGUCAGGGUCCGCGCCGCCUGCAAGGAAGCGGUCCCGGUCCUUUGAGGACGAGAGGAAUCCAGCAACAGGGACCAGUCAGUGGGACGGAGCUUCUAAGAAAACGCCACGGCAUCGUUCGCUCCUGUCAUGCCCAAGACCCCGGGAAGCCAGGCAGGAAGCAGAGGACUUUGUGUCCCAGCCCUCUGCGGAGUCUGGAGAACCCAGCCAGGAAGUGGAAGACGUCGGUCCUGACCCCAUUCCUGACUCUUACUAUGGGCUCCUGGGGACCUUGCCUUGCCAGGAACCCCAGAGCCACAUGGGCAGCCUGCCCAGUGAGGUCCUGAGGCACAUCUUUGCUUUCCUCCCUGUGGAAGAUCUCUACUGGAACGUGAGCUUAGUGUGCCACUUCUGGAGGGAGAUCAUCAGCGAUCCGCUGUUCAUUCCUUGGAAGAAGCUGUAUUACCGAUACCUGAUGAAUGAAGAACAAGCCGUGAGCAAAGUGGAUGGCAUCCUGUUGAACUCCGGUAUAGAGAAGGAGUCGGACUUGUGUGUGCUCAACCUCAUCCGCUAUACAGCCACCACUAAGUGCUCCCCAAGCGUGGAUCCCGGACGGGCGUUGUGGAGUCUGAGGGAUCACCUCCUCCUCCCUGAGGCAGAGGCCUGCGUGCGUCAGCACCUCCCCGAUCUCUACGCGGCUGCUGCGGGUGUCAACGUGUGGGCUCUGGUGGCGGCCAUCGUGCUCCUCUCUAGCAGUGUGAAUGACAUCCAGCAGCUGCUCUUCUGCCUCAGGCGGCCCAGCUCCACCGUGACCAUGCCGGACAUCACGGAGACCCUGUACUGUAUCGCCGUGCUUCUCUAUGCCAUGAGGGAGAAGGGGAUCAACAUCAGCAACCGGAUUCACUACAACAUUUUCUAUUGCCUGUAUCUUCAGGAGAAUUCCUGUACUCAGGCCGCAGAAGUUAAAGAGGAACCAUCGGUUUGGCCAGGCAAGAAAACAACCAUCCAGCUCACACAGGAACAACAGCUGAUUCUGAACCACAAGAUGGAACCCCUCCAGGUGGUAAAGAUUAUGGCAUUUGCAGGCACCGGGAAGACCUCUACCCUGGUCAAGUAUGCUGAGAAGUGGUCUGAGAGCAGGUUUCUGUAUGUGACAUUCAACAAGAGCAUCGCAAAGCAGGCCGAGCUAGUCUUCCCCAGCAAUGUCAUCUGCAAAACCUUUCAUUCCAUGGCCUAUGGACACGUCGGGCGGAAGUACCAAUUAAAGAAGAAAUUGAAUCUCUUCAAGUUGACCCCUUUCAUGGUCAAUUCUGUCCUUGCUGAAGGGAAAGGUGGAUUCAUAAGGGCCAAGCUCGUGUGUAAGACUUUAGAAAACUUCUUUGCCUCGGCUGACGAAGAGCUGACGAUUGAUCACGUGCCUAUCUGGUGUAAGAACAGCCAAGGACAGAGAGUCAUGGUUGAACAGAGUGAAAAGCUGAACGGUGUCCUUGAAGCAAGCCGACUCUGGGACAACAUGCGGAAGCUGGGGGAAUGCAAAGAAGAGGCGUACCAAAUGACUCACGAUGGCUAUUUGAAACUCUGGCAGCUGAGCAAGCCUCUGCUUGCCUCUUUUGACGCCAUCUUUGUGGAUGAGGCCCAGGACUGUACCCCAGCUAUCAUGAACAUAGUUCUGUCUCAGCCCUGUGGGAAAAUCUUUGUAGGGGACCCACAUCAACAGAUCUAUACCUUCCGCGGUGCGGUCAAUGCUCUGUUUACAGUCCCUCACACGCACGUCUUCUAUCUCACACAGAGUUUUAGAUUUGGUGUAGAAAUAGCUUAUGUGGGAGCUACUAUCUUGGAUGUCUGCAAGCGAGUAAGGAAAAAGACUUUGGUCGGAGGAAACCAUCAGAGUGGCAUUAGAGGUGACACAAAGGGGCAGGUGGCCCUGUUGUCCCGGACCAAUGCCAAUGUGUUUGAUGAGGCCGUGCGGGUGACCGAAGGAGAAGUGCCUGCCAGGAUACAUUUGAUUGGGGGGAUUAAAUCAUUUGGAUUGGACAGAAUCAUUGAUAUUUGGAUCCUUCUUCAGCCGGAGGAAGAACGGAAGAAACAGAACCUCGUUAUUAAAGACAAGUUUAUUAGAAGAUGGGUGCACAAGGAGGGCUUCAGUGGCUUCAAGAGGUAUGUGACCGCGGCUGAGGAUAAGGAGCUGGAGGCCAAGAUUGCAGUCGUUGAGAAGUAUAACAUCAGGAUUCCAGAACUGGUGGAGAGGAUAGAGAAGUGUCACAUAGAAGACCUGGACUUCGCAGAGUACAUUUUGGGCACUGUACACAAAGCCAAAGGCUUGGAGUUUGACACUGUGCACGUUUUGGACGAUUUUGUGAAAGUGCCUUGCGCCAGGCACAACCUCGCACAGCUGCCCCACUUCAGAGUCGAGUCGUUUUCUGAGGAUGAAUGGAAUUUACUGUAUGUUGCAGUAACUCGUGCCAAGAAGCGUCUCAUCAUGACCAAGUCCUUGGAGAACAUCUUGACUUUAGCUGGGGAGUACUUCUUGCAAGCAGAACUGACGAGUAACGUGUUGAAGACCGGGGUGGUUCGCUGCUGUGUGGGGCAGUGCAACAACGCCAUCCCCGUGGACACUGUGCUCACCAUGAAGAAGCUCCCCAUCACCUACAGCAACAGGAAGGAGAACAAGGGCGGCUACCUCUGCCACUCGUGUGCAGAGCAGCGCAUUGGGCCGCUGGCCUUCUUGACGGCCUCCCCCGAGCAGGUGCACUCCAUGGAACGCACCAUCGAGAACAUAGUGCUGCCCAGACACGAAGCCCUGCUCUUCCUCGUCUUCUGAAAGCCACGGGGAGCUUUCUCCACGCACGUCAGGGAUGCAGAUGGCAGGUAGGGGAGCUGGCGCAGCGUGACCCAGAGAGCUCGCCGCUCCUGGUCUCAGCCCACCAAGCGGCGUCCUGGAGCGGGCCUCGUAGCUUCACUUGUCGCGGCCUCCCCUUAGCCUCUUCCAUCAGCCUGGUGGCGCUUAGAGUGCAGGCCGUUGCAACAACUGAAGUGCUUUAUAUCUUGUGACUCAUUUUGAACAACCAUAAAAGGAGGGGAUGUGCCAUUCUUCACACUUCCUCCUGCUUGCUAGCUGAGAUGCGGACCUGAUGAUGGGAGCCCCAGCAGUCAUACUGGAAUUUGAAAGAGAUAGGCGGAGGCUCCCUGCAGUGACCUGGAAGAGGAAAAGGAAAUUCUCAAGGCAAGUUGGCGACGGCAUGGAGGGGAAGUAAAACACAGAGGUUGGAAGGCGGCAGAGGAGAACCAGCCUGGAAGGUUGCUGGAGGGAGGCCAUAAUGUUGCCCUGUCCAUCUACCCAGCCAGCCUGUGCACCCCUCGAUGGCAUCCCCCAGAAGUGGCCAGCCAGCCCCUCUCUCUGAGCAUUUUCAAGGACAGAGGGCUUCUAACUUUUGAAGCCAUUAGUUGAAUGAAGACCUUUCCUUUUCUCACAGGGAAUGGCGUGCGAUAAAGAGAAGAGAGACAGGUCCCCACCCGUGUGAGACGUCUCCCGUGAAAGACAAGGAAAUCGUUGGGGGGAAGGGUCCCUGAAGAAGUGAGCAAGCAGCAGAAGGCCCUCCGCGGCCCUCUGCGGUGUUUUUGCCUUCGUGCUCACAAUUGCAGCCUUCACGGAAGCACUGGGUCACGCCUGAGCGCAGUGCAGCAACUUUCAAGAGUUGGAAAUAACCUGCAAUGAGAUGUCAGGCGUUGGUACCUUGCCACCCAAGUGCCUCUUUAACCCAGACCGUGUGUGUAUGUCUUCAGUCUGGAAACUUUUUCAUCCAAAAAUACCCCAACUUGAACAUGCCUUUUAAGCAGAGCUUCAUUUAUUUCCUUUUCAGAAUUUUUGACAGAGCCACACGAGUCUCCAAGUCACCUCUGUCAACCUUCUCAUCUUACAGAGAGAAACUGAGGCCCAGGGAGGUAGAGCAAUUCAUCUAAAGCCAUGCUCCUCCAACAAUGUUAGGAGGCAUCUUGGCUCACUUUCAGCUCCCUGCAAAGUUUAAUUUCCCCUUAAUCUUCUCUCCACUGACCUCAGAAGACACGCCCCACUUUCUAAGAGAACUCCUAAUUUUUGAAGUUUCUAACUGGCCCCUAGGCAGUGAAGGGGACGGGGAAAUUCACUUGAAUGUCCACCAUGUUGAGGGAUAGCCUGACUCAAGGGUGACUCUAGCUCUUCCAGAAAUGACUUCAACAAGACAUUGCACAAAAGACAUCGCUUCCAGAAAACUCAAGACUUAGCCAAAGAAAUCUAAGAAUACUUCUCUUUGAGAUGAGUGGGGUCAAGGGGUGGAGUUGUAGUGGUCAAGAAGAGUUCUUUGCUAGCACCUCUAACCCACCAUGAGCAAAGUCACUUUUUGUGUGUGUGCCUCAGUUUUCUCAAAUCUAAAAUGGAGAUCCAGGUCAAGUGUAUCCAAUCAGAUUGAACUUCAGAAUCAAAUAUGCUGUAAUUGAAUACUGGAUUUCAAAGCUCUGAAUGAAGACAAGUUAUAACAUAUCUUACUCAUUGCUUUGGUGUGGGUUAUAAUCCAAGUGAUAGCGUUGGAUUUCUUGAGUUCAAUAAAAUGUUUUAAAAUUGCAAAAUAAAAUAAAGUAAAAUUAAAUGGAACGUAUGUACAGGUGACACAGAGCACUGCCUAUUUAAGAUGCCAUUUUAGAGAAAAUAGCAGCUCUUCUAUGAGGUAGUCCCUAAGCUUACCAAAGUCCUGUCUCCCCAAGGUAUAUCCUGAAGAUGAGCAAGGUUAACCAUGGUAAUAACACUUGGGGUCUAGAGAAAUUGAAUGAUUAAACAUGGAGGAUUAAACACUUUGUGUUUUAAUGACAGAUGUGCAGAUGGGAAAUUCCAGUGUGGGCAGUUGUCUUUAGAAGAAGGGAUAAUUAGACAAAAAUAUCAUCUUUAUGGGUUUCCACACUUUGGUGGUUUUUUUUUUUUUUUUUUUUUUGAGUCUAGGGGAUGAAGAUUUGAUCACAGAAUUCCUAGAAUGAAAGACGAUCAAAGCAUAGAUAAACUCUCAGAAUUUCCACAAUUCUGAGAAAGGUGCCUUCGCUAACGUGCCAUGUUGGUAACAUCAGGAGAAUUCUCUUUUUAACCACAUCCCAGGACCCAGUAAUACAGAGAUUAAAAAACACCCAGGUUGACUAAUACAUCCUCUGCGACUCAUCACCAUUUUAAUUGGUGGCUUUGGAAAUUUUCAGAAUGAAAAUCUGCCUUAUGAAUCAGCUAGAAAUUGCAUCUGUUGAUGGUCUGUUUGAUUUUGUUAGAGACCUCUCCCCUCUGAAGAGUAAAAAGUCUUGUUUAUUUUAAGACUGGGCUCCUCCUCUUGGAGAAGAAAGUCCGAGAUGAGAUUAUUUCUUACCCUGGGGUGGUUCCUAAACCAGAUAUUAAUCCCAUAAACUCAAUUUAUUUCAUCCUCAUUGGUCACCAGGUUCUCAUGUGCCUCUUGACUGGACUAUGGAAGGGGCCUCCCAACAUGUCUCUGUGCACCUGAUCUCUCUCCACUCUGUGCCAGAGUCACCUCCACAGAAGUGUCUGCAGUGAACAGAAAGAGUGUAAAUCAGGGAGCCUUGGGUUUGAACCCCAACUCUGUCACUGUCUCUGCGACUUCUGAGUUUUGGGUUCUUCAUCCAGUGAGUUUGUGACAUCCACAUUGCAAAGUGGGUAUAAAGAUUAAGAUACGACUUACACGUCUGGCACAUAGAAGGUACUCUAUAAAUGGUCAUUUUUAUUUUUGGGUAGUUUUCCAUUGACUACCAAAUGAAGUUAAAAUUUAUAACUUGCUAUCCAAGGCCUUGGAUCAUUCAUUUGACCCCAUCCUAUCUUUUCAGCCUUGAUCUCCCAUGUCCCCAUAUACCCAUCCAGUGUCAGGGGGCACAGUGGACCACUUGCUGUUCCCUUGUGCUCUGCUGUGUCUUUGUCACAGGGACCUUUCUCUCUGAGAAAGUUAAAGCCUUAGGAAAAUUUAUUUACCUAAGGAAAUUUAUUCAUAUCCCAGGGCUCUUUUUGCAUGCUGCCAUCAUUUACAUCUGGCCCACAUGGAUCUCAUCGCAUUCUAAUCUGAAGUGCUGUUGUGAUACCUGUGUCUUUAUCUCCCUUGCUAGGUUAUAAGUCUGUUAAGGACCGAGACUAUGUCUUAUUCAUUUUCAUAUUUUCUACAGUGUUGAGAAGGGGAUUAAGAGGUUUUUGAAUAGAUUUUUGGAGACCCGAGUGAAUGAAAGAGUCCUCGUAUUACUUCCACUUGCCUCACUCCCACCAAGACCAUUCAUAUCUUCAGAUCACCAGCGACUGACAAUAGCACAAGUUUACUUGAAAUGUGUUUCCCAGAGAUAGGUCAUGACUUAUUGUAAAGACUUUUCUGUUCUAACUUGAACUGUCCUCCCACUUUGCAAAGACCAUGCUGAAACAGAAGUCAUGUUAUAAGCCUUUCAAAAAUCAUGCCCUCUUCAACUCCACAGUGAAGAAAUUCCUAUCCCUGGGUCAGUUCACAGCCCAACAUAAUCUGGCUACUUCACCAAAUAAGCAAAAAGACUCCUUAGAUGCAUCAUCAGGUUUCACUUCUUAACACAUCUUUCUGUGGCCAGUUAGCAUUAUUAUACAUCUAGAAGUUAAGGCAAUGAAAUUGUUGACUUUGAUACCUUAUCUGUCUUCCUGGGUAAGCAAGGCAAGAAGUUAUUAGAAAAUUCACACUCAAUUAGGAAAGGUGGUUUGAGGUAGAAGUUGGUGGUUUCUUAUUUGUUAAAAAAAUUUCUUUGACAAAACCCAUUUAAAAGGAUGAAUGAAAUCCAAAAUUUGCACGUGUGUGUGUGUAUACAUACAAACACAUAUGUAUACAUGCAUAUAUCCAUAUAAGACUAUAAGAAAAAGUAGAGUUCUGAAAGCAAGUAUGCUUAUUUUUUCUAAAAUUUCUAUAACAUUGCACGUGUAAAGAGCAUCCUAGGUAUUAUUUCCUGAGGCAGUAUGUAGAAAAACAGCAUAUACAUUUUUGAAGCCAAGAUUUUUUGAGAUCUUAAAUUAUCCUGAUGUUUCCUAUAUUAGUUACUGACAUCUCAGGACAUUAACCUGGUCUUAGAUUCCUAGUAGAUUUUUAGAUUGUUAGGUAUGGCGAAAAACUGUAUCCAUUGGAAAAUAAGAGAACAUGUCUUGAGGAAUCUGCUCAUUCGUAUUCUGUUAAUAUUCAAAUAUCCCGCCACUCUAUUCACCCCAGAAUUAACAAAGACUCUGAGUGACAGGAGAUCCCACCAUCCCAGGCUCUGUGUAUAGAUCAGGGACGAUUGAAGCAUGACAUGGGACCCUAGGGGGUCACGGACAAAGAAUAGACCCCAAGAUUCAACCCCUGUGUCUGCACUUUCUACUUAGGAACCUCCUGAUUCUGGACUGAGAAGAGCUAACAUCCAUGAGCCUUCCCAAGAUUCAGAGGGCACCUGUGACCCUUACCUGUCACGUGGCCAUGUACCACGACGAAUGUGAGGAUUCCCCACAGCAGCAGGCUUGGCUCCAUCUUGAGGGCAGUGAAGAGAAGGUGUUUCUCCGCAGAAGGCCAAGUUUCCAGUCAGCCUCUUAUUUGUAUCAUGCUGGGAGGACGAGGGAUGAAAAGAUCAAUCCACUCAGGAUGUCAUCAUGCUGUGGUCCCUCUGGUCUCUAUGACAGUCCGAAGUCGCUCUCUAUAAGUAUUAGGCUGCUUUGGUGAGCCAGGAAAUUGUGCCUAGCCCUCUCUAGUUUCAAAUAUAGGAAGUGGUUUUAACCAGGUUUUUUUUCAAGUUCAAUUGCUGGGAGGUGUGGGCUGGGUUGGUGAGAAGGAUUGGACUUCGUUUAUGAAUCCUUUCUUCAGCUUCACCAGAAAAGGAAAGGGAGAUUCCCCUGCUGCUGAAAGAGAGUGAGCAAGCACUUUGUGGCAGUGGUCUCAUUUAGUGUUUCAUAAAUUGACAUCACCUUGAAAUUGAGGUCUUCCCCCAGACUUGUGGCUCCCUGAGGAGUCAGCAGGUGCCACAUAGGAUGAGUGGGGUCUUCAGUAUUCAGGUAAUUAAAAAGGAAGCAGAAGACUGACCCAUAUUCAAAAUUCAUGAAUUGUCUGCCAAGAUCUAUAAUCAGUAGUGUAGUGGCCACAAUUGUUUCACCAUGAUGUCCAGGUUCCUGAAUGUGAAUUGUGAUUUUACAAGAUAUUUUGCCUCCAGAAUUGUCUUUCUCUUAAAGGAUCAUACUAAAAGUGGGCUUUGGUUUUAAACUUUAGACUUUUUUUUGCAAAAUUAAAUCAUUCUUCAUUGUUUAAUUAUCAGAGUUAUCUUCUGAUUUUCAUGAAAUGGUUGACUGUGUUUCCUAUCUGGAAAUUCACAUCCAUUAGCAAUCAUCUAAUGAUCACAGUAUAAUAUGAUCUUUUUAAGAAGUUUACUUAUUUAUUUUGAGAGAAAGAGAGCAUGAAUGGAGGAGGGGCAGAGAGAGAGGAAGAGAGAAUCCCAAGUAGGCUCCAUGCUGUGAGCGCGGAGUGCAACACAGGACUCGAACUCACGAACUGUGAGAUCAUGACUUGAGCCAAAAUCAAGGAUUGGACACUCAACCCACUGAGCCACCCAGGCACACUAAAAUACAAUUUUUAAAAUAUUUGAAAGCAAGUAAAUAUAUUGACAAAAGGAAGACCAUCUUUUCAACCAAAGCAGUUCAUGGUUCCAAUAUGUAUUAUCUCUACCCCUGACAUUCUCUCAGAAAAGCAACUACCUCUGAAAAGAACCUUGGAAUUCUGCAAAUGAACUAAGAGUAGUUUCCUAACUAAGUACCAGAGUUUGCAGAGAAAACUCGUCAACUGAUCUCUUUCUGGGAGUGGGAUACUUAUCAAAGCAUGACAAGAUUAUUUUUUUAAGAUUCCAGAGCAGGCUUCACCUCAUGGCUAGAAACAUUUUCAACUGUGUGGAUGAAUGCAGCAAUUCUGUUAUCCCCGGAGUCUGUCCCAGUGACUGAACUGGAGGUUUUUGCUAGCCAUAGUUACCAUUGUAUAGUUUUUAAACAAACUUACAGAAAAAAUAUAAUAUGAACAUCUCCCUCCAAUAAACUAAGAGUAGUUGUCAGUGCAAUGUUCUAUUGCCCCCGAGCAGUUGAGUGUGUAUUUCCUACGAACAAGGAAAUUCUCCAACAUCACUACAACCAUCAAUCAGGAAACCAUAUUGAUGCAUUAUUACCAGGCAAUCCUUAGACCCAAGUUUCUCUAGUUGUCUCAGUAAUGUCCCUCACAUCAAAGGAUCCAGUUCAGAAUCAUCUGUUGCAUCUAGUUGCCAUGUGUCUUUAGCAGGUCCUUUGUCUUGGAUUUCAUGACCUGACGUAUUUGAGGAUUACAAAUGAGUUAUUUUGUAGAUUAUCCCUCAGUUUGGAUUUAUUUACCAUUUCCUCACUAUUAGAUCAGGUUUUGCAUCUUUGGCAAGAAUAACACAGAAGUGGUGCUGUGUUCUUACCAUCACACCCUUCGAUCCCAUUACUGAUGCCGUUUACUUUGGUCCUUUGAUUGAAUAAAGUGGUGUUAUCUGGGUGCCCCCCGUUUCAAAGUCACUGUUUUCCUCUUUGUAAUAAAUAUUGUGUGAUAUGA